GCCAGCAUGAUGUAGUGGUUUGAAUGUUGGACUAUGACUCUGGAGACUGGGGACUGGGUUUGAAUCCCAGCUCUGCCA